GUGUAUUCUGGAUCGAGCUCAGGGGCGACCAAGAAGGGUCAAACCCUAAUCAACACAAUUUCAUCAAAUUGAAGGGGCAAAUCAAGUCCAAAUCAAAAUCCGAGUAUGAAUUAGUGAUCUCCAUUGAAAAAGGAGUCAUGAGUUUGACUCUGACAAGCUAGGUAGGAGCUUGGAAAUGAACGGGUCAAAUGGAUAGAAUUCAAGUAUGAAGCUCGCAAGGAUGCAAGGUAAGUAUAACUUACACUAGUCAUAUAUUUUAGAAUGUUCUUUUGUCGUAUUACUACGAAUAAGACAAAUGGUAAUUUAGUCACACGUUGACAAUAAUCGUUAGUUUUAAAAGACGCUUUCCCGCGUAAGACAUAAAGAGCCGAAAGUGGUAAUAAACGGUUUAUAAAUAAAAUGAGCAUACGGUGUUAAAAGGAGCGAGUCAUGUAGAUGAGAUGAUAAUAAAUAUUAUCUCGCAAAGAUAAACGGUCAAUUCGGCCAAACGGGUCAAAAAGUGUAGACAUCACCUUUUGACUAUAUAGACUAAUGAUUCUUUUGUCGAGUCAUAUGCUUACAGGAAUAGAUAUCCAAUGGAUAUUCGCAUCGUUCUUAAUUAGCGAAUAUAAAGCAAGGUAUUAAAAUCGGGUCUAUUUGUUGAUCCGAGCCAGGUACGCUUAUUUAUGAUGUAUGUAAAAGUGCUAAUUUGGUCGAAUAAUUGGUGAUAGCCCUUCAUUGUAAAAGAAGGACCAAAAUCGACCAAAACACCCUUGUAGGCUAAAUUGAACAAACAACUCUUAGAGGUUGUUUGGAAAGGAGUCUUAUGAUUAAACAAAAGUUUAGAACGAGUACGGGUAGGGAAAGAUGUAAUUCUUGGGCCAAAAGACUCCAUAUGAGUCUUUGCCGUAAAAUGAUAUUUCAAGAGGUAUAAAUUCGGAACACAUAGAUAUCUACUUUAAAUCCAACACACAUUUAGUUGUGAUGGAAGAGUACUAGAUAAGAGCUAUAGGUUACAACGCUGGAUUAGAAUGAAAGCGAAAUUGAGCUUAAAAGUGCUUAAAAUAUCCUUAACGGGUCAAAAUAAGCAUACUAGUGAAAACGGGUUUAAUUUGUGAAUAAACCUAUGAUUAGAACCUAAUAUGGUAUAUCACAAUGAGUUGAUGAAGUGUAUGAAAUAUAGGAAUCAAAUAAAUACGUUUGUUUGAUAAAACGCAUAACCGGGUCAAAAUUUGGUAUAAAGGGUAAUAAGCCGAAGACUUAGAAGUCUUAAAUUUUGUUAAGCCGAAUGUCGGAUUUUAACUCCAAAUGAUGGAGAAGCGAAUUACAAACAUGUAGGAAGAAACGGUAGGCCAAACGGACAAGCAGUUUGAAAGAUACGGAAGAUUUCGUGUCAAAUUACGGCAAAAAUGGAAAACUGGAUGCAGGGUCCACCGUAAAUUACGGUGCCACCGUAAUUUACGGUGGAGAUGAAAAGCCUUACGGUGGCCCCCUACUGGUUUACGGUAGGGGUAUGUAAAACCAGUGGCCACCGUAAAUUACGGUGCCACCGUAAUUUACGGUGGAGGUCAGGUUGAAAUUUUUGUUUUUGUUAUCAAUUGUUUCUCGGACUCGUUUAGACACGUUUUAAGUCCUGUAUGACUAAAGCAUUUCAUGUUUAUGAAAUGUAGGUACACCUUGGAUGCCGGAAGACGAUCAAGCUCAACGAAGGACCGAACACGAUAUAGAUACACGCUUCGGCACAUUGCCACGUUGUAAAUUUUAACAACGAACUCAAUUACGUUUGUUGGAUAACUUAUGAUUUGUAAAAGAUUUAAUAAACCCGCAUUUUGUACAGUAUGUGUGGUCUUAACUACACAUCUAAUUGUGGUAUUUUCAUGUAAAAUUGUAAUUUAGUAACUUGGGUGUUACAAGUUGGUAAUCAGAGCUCAUGGUUAAAGAGUAAGGUGUGUUCGGUUCGAGGCUUGAUCGCAAAUCCGGUAAGUGCAUGUAUGCUAAUGGUCUAGCGUAUUAAAGUGUUGUAGACAACACAUAGGGUUACCGUGUAAAACACGUUACCCCAAUUAAAUGAUUGAUAUAGUUGACAAAAAUACGCGCGUUGACGUGUAUAGUAGAAAAAGCCUUGUACUAUAAUACAGGCGAUUAUUGAAGUUGAUAUUACUAACUUUCGUGAAUAUCUUGAUUGAUGGACACUUGCAUUUAAAGAUGACAAGAGUUGAACAAAUUAAGGAUAUGAUAGAGGAACGGUCCGAAGUAUGACGAUAGGAGCAUGCUCACUAAGGACUAAAUCGCGUAACGACCGCGAACAAGGUUAAUGGCAAGAAACGCCCGUCGGGGCAAGCAUUACCAGGUGCGUGUUUUUAAAUAUAAUCGCACAAAUAGCAAUAUGCAACAAACGAGUAGAAAUUGAAAGUUGCAUAUGUAGAUUAAAAACUUGGAAAAACCCGAAUAGAAAAUGUAUUCGGGAUAUUGUUUCCAAGAGAAACAAAUAGAGGCGUUACUUACAUAGGGCGUGAUGUGAAAACUAUAAAUAGGUCAUGUGUGUCAUAUGUUAAUCGCUUACUCUGGCCAAGUAAGUAGUGGCUUAUGAUACCAUGAACUUCUUAUGGCGGACACGUUUACAUCCGAUGUAGUAAGGGCAGGGUGAAUGGGACUAAUUAAAAAGUACCCAAAUGAAUCAGAUAAGCAAAAUAUUUGAUAAUAAUGUAAAUGCACAACCAAGUGACGGGAGCGUAUUACAUUAGGAUAAUGAGCCCGGGUGAAGGGACAAACAAGCAUGUAAAAUGAUUUAGACAAGUAUUGGGAGGGAGUGUACUUACACUCGAACCCAGAAAACACAAGCAUGUAAAAUGAUUUAGACGAGUAUUGGGAAGGAGUGUACUUACACUCGAACCCAGAAAACACAAGCAUGUAAAAUGAUUUAGACGAGUAUUGGGAAGGAGUGUACAUACACUCGAACCCAUAAAACACAAGCAUGUAAAAUGAUUUAGACAAGUAUUGGGAGGGAGUGUACUUACACUCGAACCCAGAAAACACAAGCAUGUAAAAUGAUUUAGACAAGUAUUGGGAGGGAGUGUACUUACACUCGAACCCAGAAAACGCAAACAUGAAAAAUGAUUUAGACAAGCAAUGGGAGGGCGUGUACUUGCACUCGAACCCGGAAAAUGCAAAUAUGUCCCUUAACGGGUCAUUUUUGUAAAACGUCGAACUUAAAGACAAAGUCAGAAUAUAAAAAUGAAGCGAGGUCUUAAUGCAUACCGGGAGGAUUGCAAUAAUAACGACUUUGGUAAAACACCCGGUUGAUGGGUAAGAAUUAAACACAUGCGUAAACCGAGAAACGAGAACAUGAAUUUAAAGUCAAAAGACUCGGAUUAUGAGUUAUGACUAAAAGACCAUAAAAAUUUCGUAAACAGAAAUUCUGAUCAUUAUAUUCAACUAUUUUGAGAUUGAACGGGUUGAAUAAAGUAUAAUGCUUGAAGGCGUAAGUAAGCGCAAGCCGGAUAACGGUAAGCUUGAGACAAAUGAGUUUCAAACGUAAAAAGAGUGCUUUGACACCAAAUAUAUAUUUUAAUAAGACACGAGUAAAAAGAGUGAUCUACGGGAUCAACAUAACCUUUAGGGUUAUAAACAAAUGAGAGAUAUACGGACUAAAACGACCCACGGGUCAUGAUUAGAAAGAAGUUACAAGGACUUCGCCUUAAAGAGGUGAAUGUCUAAUCAAAAAUAGCCCAUAAGGCUAAGUGAUAAAACCUACGGGUUAGAUGGAAUAAAGCGAGGAAAUCAGUUAAGAAUCCCCGCAUAAAAACUAAGACUGUAAAGGAUUAAAUUACGGACUGUCAAUAUCCCAGUAUAGUGUAACACCCCGAAAAUAUAAAACUUAUUGUUAAAAAUUAUAAAUUAUUAAUAAACGGGAGUUUACUAACUAGAAACUUUUAACCUAGUUAGUUGAUAGACUAGAAAUAACCCAUGAAAGGUUAAAACCUACUAAAUAAUGAGUAGAGCAAAAUUGAGGGGCUGGAAUUGUCAAAAAUUAAAACUAAAUAACAAUUAGUAACCAAACACUCUAAAUUUUGGAGUGUUGGUCGAUCAAGAAAGCAGAAGGGGGCGACACCCCCAUUCCAAAACCCUAAACUCACUAAAACAUCAAAUUGAAGGCUCAAUUCUGAUCAAAAACAAAAUCUAAACAUAGAUUAGUGAUCCUCAUCACGAGAGGAUUCCAAGGUAUGUAAAAACUUGUGUUAAUUCUUUGCUUGAAAUUCUCAUGAUAUUGUGAAAUCUGGAAAUUUGAUGUUGCAUGAGUGUUAUUUGGUUAGUUUAGAAUCUAUUUGGUGUUUAGAGGUUAGACUCAACCAAUUACAAGUGAAAUCAUGACCCAAUUUGGAAAACUCCAUGAACACCUUGAAGGUGGGUUGUGGGUUUUACAAGAUGAUGAUGAUUUUUAGGGUUCUUAGUAGUUAUACUAGUAAAAAUUCGACUUUAGAAGAUAGUUCCAGAAAAGAUGUGAUGUUACAUGAUAUAUGAUGGCUUAAUUGAAGUUAAGUCAACCACUAAGCAAUCCACAAACAUGAAGAUGAAUAAUAUAGAAAUUAUGCCCUUUAGAUGUUUGUGGAAAUGCCUCAAAGAAGGUUGACAAAUAGAAAUUUGAAGCUUAGACGCUUAAUUAAGAUGUUUCGGUAUAUUAUGCUAAAUGAUGUCUAAGAGGGUUCUAAACAUGUCUUGUAAAUGAACUCCAUAGGACAAGAUACCGGGACAUCGAGCGGACAAGCCGGUGGUGAUUCUCGAUUGAAGGGUGUACGCCAAGGUAUGUAACAUGUCUCGUUACAUUAUGUAAAUUUUAGAUCGUUGUAGUUGUUUAUCAAAGUUUCUAGUUAAAUUGGAUUGGAGCGAAGGCGUUGUCGUAUUUGAAUACUAGUAUGAAUAACGAAUUUAGCUCGUUGGUAGUUGCCACGAAGGAAGGAAAUUCCGUAGGCAAGCCAAACGGGUCAAACAAUCAAGUAAACAUGAUCUAUAUUCCGAACAUGAUAAAUUGAUGUAUGUAGUGGCUAUAGUAUGAUGUGCUAGAAAUAUUAGACCUUUACUACAUUGAUAAUGCAGAAUGUUGAAACCCGAAAGUUGGAAUUUUGGUUGAAAUGCUCAAACCAAACAAAAGCAUGAAUUCCCAGGUGCUACCGUAAAUUACGGUGUCACCGUAAUUUACGGUAGAGGGUUUUGAUUUACGGUGGUUUUCUCCUGUGUUACGGUGUAACCAGGAAUUUCCAGCACUCACCGUAAUUUACGGUGGUACCGUAAAUUACGGUGGAGCCUGGAACACUUUUAUAUUCUUAUUCUUUUUAAUGGGGUGUUAAGUCUUAAAACCUUAUCAUUCUUAAACAUCAAGAACUAACGAUCUAAUUGUUGAUUCUUAGGUAAUUAGAAGUCAUGGAUGGCGAUCAAGCGACAAGAUGAAUGAACCGAACACUCCACUUCGAAGCUUCCGCUAUGUUAAACUUGUUAAACAGUGUAUCUUUUGUUGUAAUCAAAGUCUUAAACAACAAUAUUACGUUCUACUUUUGUUCUUAGUAGGCUAACUAGUAAAAGUUUUGAAACUUAUGAAAUUUUU
rnacentral:lncRNA from 1 species